rnacentral:rRNA from 1 species
AGUGAACGCUGGCGGUAGGCCUAACACAUGCAAGUCGAACGGCAGCACAGUAAGAGCUUGCUCUUACGGGUGGCGAGUGGCGGACGGGUGAGGAAUACAUCGGAAUCUACUUUUUCGUGGGGGAUAACGUAGGGAAACUUACGCUAAUACCGCAUACGACCUACGGGUGAAAGCAGGGGAUCUUCGGACCUUGCGCGAUUGAAUGAGCCGAUGUCGGAUUAGCUAGUUGGCGGGGUAAAGGCCCACCAAGGCGACGAUCCGUAGCUGGUCUGAGAGGAUGAUCAGGCACACUUGAACUGAGACACGGUCCAGACUCCUAAGGGAAGCAGCAGUGGGGAAUAUUGGACCAUGGGCGCAAGCCUGAUCCCGCCCUACCGGGUGGGUGAAGAAGGCCUUCCGGUUGUAAAACCCCUUUGUUGGGAAAGAAAAGCAACAAGUUAAUACCCCGCUGUUCUGAAGGGUCCCAAAAGAUAAGCCACGGCUAACUUCGUG